rnacentral:rRNA from 1 species
CCUAACACAUGCAAGUCGAACGGUAACAGGAAACAGCUUGCUGUUUCGCUGACGAGUGGCGGACGGGUGAGUAAUGUCUGGGAAACUGCCUGAUGGAGGGGGAUAACUACUGGAAACGGUAGCUAAUACCGCAUAACGUCGCAAGACCAAAGAGGGGGACCUUCGGGCCUCUUGCCAUCAGAUGUGCCCAGAUGGGAUUAGCUUGUUGGUGGGGUAACGGCUCACCAAGGCGACGAUCCCUAGCUGGUCUGAGAGGAUGACCAGCCACACUGGAACUGAGACACGGUCCAGACUCCUACGGGAGGCAGCAGUGGGGAAUAUUGCACAAUGGGCGCAAGCCUGAUGCAGCCAUGCCGCGUGUAUGAAGAAGGCCUUCGGGUUGUAAAGUACUUUCAGCGGGGAGGAAGGGAGUAAAGUUAAUACCUUUGCUCAUUGACGUUACCCGCAGAAGAAGCACCGGCUAACUCCGUGCCAGCAGCCGCGGUAAUACGGAGGGUGCAAGCGUUAAUCGGAAUUACUGGGCGUAAAGCGCACGCAGGCGGUUUGUUAAGUCAGAUGUGAAAUCCCCGGGCUCAACCUGGGAACUGCAUCUGAUACUGGCAAGCUUGAGUCUCGUAGAGGGGGGGUAGAAUUCCAGGUGUAGCGGUGAAAUGCGUAGAGAUCUGGAGGAAUACCGGUGGCGAAGGCGGCCCCCUGCACGAAGACUGACGCUCACGUG